rnacentral:rRNA from 1 species
AAUGAACGCUGGCGGCGCGCCUAAUACAUGCAAGUCGAGCGAGAAGACGUAGCAAUACGUUUGUAAAGCGGCGAACGGGUGAGGAAUACAUGGGUAACCUACCCUCGAGUGGGGAAUAACUAGCCGAAAGGUUAGCUAAUACCGCGUACGCUCCUUGGACUUCGGUUCAGGGAGGAAAGCGAUACCGUGGGUAUCGCGCUCUUGGUUGGGCUCAUGUCCUAUCAGCUUGUUGGUGAGGUAACGGCUCACCAAGGCUUCGACGGGUAGCUGGUCUGAGAGGAUGAUCAGCCACACUGGAACUGCGACACGGUCCAGACUCCUACGGGAGGCAGCAGUGGGGAAUAUUGGGCAAUGGGCGAAAGCCUGACCCAGCCACGCCGCGUGAGUGAUGAA